GGGGAUGAAGGUUUGUGGAUUGUAAACCCCUUUUGAUUGGGAAGAAUAACUGACGGUACCAAUCGAAUAAGCAUCGGCUAAGUCCGUGCCAGCAGCCGCGGUAAUACGGAGGAUGCAAGCGUUAUCCGGAAUUAUUGGGCGUAAAGCGUCCGCAGGUGGCUAUGUAAGUCUGCUGUUAAAGGCUGGGGCUUAACUCCAGACAGGCAGUGGAAACUACUAGACUAGAGUGCGGUAGGGGCAGAGGGAAUUCCCAGUGUAGCGGUGAAAUGCGUAGAUAUUGGGAAGAACAUCGGUGGCGAAGGCGCGCUACUGGACCGGAACUGACACUCAGGGACGAAAGCUAGGGGAGCGAAAGGGAUUAGAUACCCCUGUA
rnacentral:rRNA from 1 species